GUGUUGUGCUCAGCUGCAGCCAGCUGUGGCCACCCAGGAUCAGGGCUCCACGUCUCAAGAGAAGCUAGGAAAGUCAGCUUUCAUGCAAAACUUCGAGAUUUUUAAAAAGCUCAAGGCAGGCCAAGCAAAAUCCCAUCUGUGGGCCUCCAGUCCCUGGAGGGGAGCCAAGUAGGGUUUCCAAACAGGCCUAUGACACAGUCCCAUUUGAGUUUUGGACGAAUGGCUUCAGUGACAGACUGAACAGGAAGAAGGCAGUGGCUGUGGGCAGCACGUUGCAGCUCCCCAAAGGCCUUCAGAGAAACCCAAGGGCUCGAUGGCGGCCCCGGCCCUAACUUCCGGAGGACCCUUAUUUGAGUGGGUGGGAGAGUGGGCCAGCUGGACCCCAGACACAUGCUGGGGAGUGGGGAGAAUGGACUAUCACUUUUCCCUUAGUUCCCAAAGCCACCCAGGCCAUUGCGUCCACGCCCACCCUGGGCCGCAAAGACCAUGGGUUACUAAGGGUCAGUCCCUGGACAGAUGUGGCCACAGGCCAUCCCAAAGGACCAUGGGAGAAGCUGGAAUGACACAUCACACUCCAGGCUGGGUUGUGACCCCAGGGGAUCACACUGGGGUAACUGCAGGUCACCGGAAAUGGAGUAAACAGAGGCUGUGCUCUGACCUGCUUGGACCCUUUGGAGGUACCGUAUCCAGGCUCUCCCCUCCCCGGCCGGGGCACAACCUCCCUGCUUCCUUUCCAUUGGCCACAGACUCUAGACUGCAGCUCCCCUAAAAGAAACCAGCCAAGUCCCAGAGGAAACAGAGGACUAGCCAGCCGUGCAGGGGGGGACUGACCCUCGGAGGCUGAAGUUUCGGUGACCAUGGUCGACCGAAGUCCUGAAGCAGAUGACCCUCCUUCCGAAGUCUCAUCAGGAGGUCAGUGGUAGCGUCGCGCUACGUCACAGGGCCUCCGUCACUCGCCCGACUCACUUCAUCUCAUUACGCAGGCAUUUUCUCAUCUCCCAUCAUCAUAAGAAGAAGGGUAUUUGUGGUUGUUGGAGCGACUUCUACCUGCGCUAAACCACCCCACCCUGAGGUUUUAAAGUGAAGUGUUUUGAUUGGCUCCGAAUGUGAUCAUGUGAUUGAGCAUUGGCCAAUGAGAUCAUCGCAUUUCUGCCAAGUUAUCGGCUCAGCUGCCUGAUGCAUUCCCAACUCAGCUUCCUUUCGCUAGACCCAACAAUCAUCCACAGAAAUCCCAGUGCCACCCGACGCAAGAGGAAGUGAGAUGGAAGAGAAGCCAACCAACCGGAAGGAGAACUGGCCUUAACUGGUGGUGGGCGAACCAUCCUCUUCGUGCAAAUCACAUGGAAACACGUGACCCUAGAGAGAGAGAGAGAGAGAGAGAGAGAAUCUCAAGCAGGCUCCACACUCAGCACAGAGCCCACAGAGUCUCAUAACCCGAAGAUCCUGAUGUGAGCCGAAAUCAAGAGGUGGAUGCUCAACCGAAUGAGACCCCAGCUGCUCCUCCAACAAGACUUUUGAAGGGAAAAAAAUGCCUUAAUUUCAAGGUGCACCUCUGACAGCAGGGGUGUAAGUCAGUGUGACAGGUCACUAGGACAGAUAUAGACUGUGGACCCAGUGAGCAUGCAGGCAGGUCCUGCAAAGCACAUGCGGUGUAUUCGUUUUCUGUCGCGACUGUAACGCACAACCACGGGUUUGAAGGCUUAAAACAAAGUCUAUUUACCCUUUCAUGUGUCUGCAGGUCAGAAGUCCAAGUUCACCGUGCCCUGGUGGGUCCUUUGCUUAGAGUCUCCCAAGACUGAGACCAGAGUGGUCAGUGGGACCAUGUUCCUUUCUGGAGGCUCUGGGGAUGAAUGUGGUUCCAAGCUCAUUUCAGUAGUUAGUUGAAUUCAGUUCCCCGUGGUUGUGGGACUGAGGAGCCCCUGCUUCCAAUGGGGGGGGGGGCUGGUCUUUGCAACUAGAGGCUGCCCACAUUCCUUCUCGUGCUUUCCGUGCACCCCCCGCCAGCAGCAGUGGGGCAAAACCCUCCCAGGCUUCAAAUCUCUGACAUCUUCCAGCCCAUUUCUCUGCCUGCGGCCAGAGAAAGUUCUCUGCUUCUGAGGACUUUUUAGAAUUAUGUGAUUAUAGGGGCGCCUGAGUAGCUCCGUCGGUGAAGCGGCAGUCUCUUGAUUGCCGCUC